GACGGACGCUGGCGGCGUGCUUAACACAUGCAAGUCGAACGAUGACGACCGAGAUUGCUCGGUCUGAUUAGUGGCGAACGGGUGAGUAACACGUGAGCAACCUGCCCUUCACUCUGGGAUAACCUCGGGAAAUCGGGGCUAAUACCGGAUAUGAGCUCCUGUCGCAUGGCGGGUGUUGGAAAGUUUUUCGGUGAAGGAUGGGCUCGCGGCCUAUCAGUUUGUUGGUGAGGUAGUGGCUCACCAAGGCGAUGACGGGUAGCCGGCCUGAGAGGGCGACCGGCCACACUGGGACUGAGACACGGCCCAGACUCCUACGGGAGGCAGCAGUGGGGAAUAUUGCACAAUGGGCGAAAGCCUGAUGCAGCGACGCCGCGUGAGGGAUGACGGCCUUCGGGUUGUAAACCUCUUUCAGCAGGGAAGAAGCGAAAGUGACGGUGCCUGCAGAAGAAGCGCCGGCUAACUACGUG
rnacentral:rRNA from 1 species